AGUGAACGCUGGCGGUAGGCCUAACACAUGCAAGUCGAACGGCGGCACAGUAAGAGCUUGCUCUUACGGGUGGCGAGUGGCGGACGGGUGAGGAAUACAUCGGAAUCUACUUUUUCGUGGGGGAUAACGUAGGGAAACUUACGCUAAUACCGCAUACGACCUACGGGUGAAAGCAGGGGAUCUUCGGACCUUGCGCGAUUGAAUGAGCCGAUGUCGGAUUAGCUAGUUGGCGGGGUAAAGGCCCACCAAGGCGACGAUCCGUAGCUGGUCUGAGAGGAUGAUCAGCAACACUGGAACUGAGACACGGUCCAGACUCCUACGGGAGGCAGCAGUGGGGAAUAUUGGACAAUGGGCGCAAGCCUGAUCCAGCCAUACCGCGUGGGUGAAGAAGGCCUUCGGGUUGUAAAGCCCUUUUGUUGGGAAAGAAAAGCAGCAGGUUAAUACCCCGCUGUUCUGACGGUACCCAAAGAAUAAGCACCGGCUAACUUCGUG
rnacentral:rRNA from 1 species